CAGUAGCCACGGUAAUACAGAGGGUGCGAGCGUUAAUCGGAUUUACUGGGCGUAAAGCGUGCGUAGGCGGCUUCUUAAGUCGGAUGUGAAAUCCCUGAGCUUAACUUAGGAAUUGCAUUCGAUACUGGGAAGCUAGAGUAUGGGAGAGGAUGGUAGAAUUCCAGGUGUAGCGGUGAAAUGCGUAGAGAUCUGGAGGAAUACCGAUGGCGAAGGCAGCCAUCUGGCCUAAUACUGACGCUGAGGUACGAAAGCAUGGGGAGCAAACAGGAUUAGAUACCCGCGUAGUCCCUGUCUUUUAUAC
rnacentral:rRNA from 1 species